rnacentral:piRNA from 1 species
UAACUACAAACGUUUCUGCAGAGCC